GUGGAUUAGAUACCCUGGUAGUCCACGCCGUAAACGAUGGAUACUAGCUGUUUGGUUUUCGGACUGAGUGGCUAAGCGAAAGUGAUAAGUAUCCCACCUGGGGAGUACGGGCGCAAGCCUGAAACUCAAAGGAAUUGACGGGGGCCCGCACAAGCGGUGGAGCAUGUGGUUUAAUUCGAUGAUACGCGAGGAACCUUACCAGGGCUUAAAUGUAGAUUGACAGGUUUGGAAACAGAUUUUUCUUCGGACAAUUUACAAGGUGCUGCAUGGUUGUCGUCAACU
rnacentral:rRNA from 1 species